UUAGAACAUAAGGAGUUAAGAUCUUCAUAAUUCAAAGAAUUUGGCGGUUAAUUUAAAUUUUAGAGGAACCUGUAUUUUAAUUGAUAAACCACGUUAGUUUAGACCUUAAAUUUUAUAUUUGUAUAUCUCUAUUUUUAGUUAAUAUUUUAUAAGAAUAUUUUUUUUUAGUUUAUUCAUUUAAGUUAGGUCAAGGGGCAGUUUUAUAAAGGUUAAUAUGGGUUAUUUUAGUUUAAAAAUUUUGGUUUAUAUAUUAUUUUAUUAUUUGAUUUUUAGGAUUUGAUAGUAAUUAUAAUUAAUUAAUUAUGUUGAAUUUU
rnacentral:rRNA from 1 species